UAGUGGAUCCAAUGCACUGAAAUUUACUUGU
rnacentral:piRNA from 1 species